GCAUAAUAAUUAGCUUUUUAAUUGUAAGCUAGAAUGAUUGGGUUAAUUAAAAGAAUGGUCUUAAAUUUUAUAUUGAAUUUUUUUCACGUUGAAAAGAGCGUGUUGAGGUAUUAUGACGAUAAGACCCUAUGAAGCUUAAUACAUAAAACAAACUAAAAGCACUAAAUGUAAUUUAUUUGGGGUAAAUAGUAAUUUAAUUAUUAAAAAAGUCUAAUAAUGUUGAGCUUUAAUUCUAAUAAAAAGAGAAAGCUACUCUAGGGAUAACAGCGUAAUACUUAUAAGAGCCCUUAUCAAAAUAAGUGUUUGUGACCUC
rnacentral:rRNA from 1 species